UAGCGUAGGGGGCGAGCGUUGUCCGGAGUACUGGGCGUAAAGCGCACGCCAGGCGGUCUGUUAAGUUUGGAGGUGACAGUUGGUGGCUUAACUGCCAAAGUGCUUCGAAAACUGACAGACUUGAGGGCUUCAGAGGGACACGGAAUUCCGGGUAGGAGUGGAGUGGAAUGACGUAGAGAGUCCGGAGGAACACCAAAGGCGAAGGCAGUGUCCUGGGGAGUACCUGACGCUCGAGGUGCGAAAGCCAGGGGAGCGAACGGG
rnacentral:rRNA from 1 species